AAAUCAUAGCUAGCCGCCUCGCAUCAAUAUACAGAGAGGGCCUCACCUGUCACUCCCAAUCUUUUUUAUGCUUUAAAUGACACCGAGAGGCCUACACCCCGCCACAACGUUCGGUGGCCUCAAUCUUCCCCUCGGGCCCACGCAUAGAUAGUGCCUCUCAAGCCGCUUGGCAACUAGCAGGGUCUCAUCUGUCACUCUCAAAAGAAGUUUAAUUGUUUCACCGCUUGGUACUUAGCUAGCCCACCAGUACCCACCCACAAUACAUUUCAUACGACUGACUGUUUAUAUUUAUAAUUUCAGUUAUGUCACUAACACCUGAUAUCCCUGAAGAACUGUCACUACCUAGCACACCCGCUAGGCCUGCCACCCCUGUUCCGGGUACAGAUGUGAAUAGCCCUGCAUCCCUUAGAUCAUGGACCAUCCCACGUCUUACAGCUGAACUAAGAAGACGCUGCAUCCCUUUCCCGGCUACAGCUAGGAAGGCGGAGUUGUAUAGGCUAUUAUACACUACCACUGACAACUCCGAUGCAGGGGAAGGCACUAGCGGAUCGCAAAUACCAGCAUUUCAUGCUAUGAUGACGUCCCUUAUGACAUCCAUAGGGACAAUCAGCGACAGGCUGGACAAAUUGGAGGCCGGUAGUGUUACUCAGUCCACAAAUGCAACGGUCACCACUCAGCCUCUUGCUAAUACCUUACCCGGUAAUACCCUGGCAGCUACGGCUGACAUAGAAUCCAUUGAUCCUUCACAUAUGGUCCCAGCUCACCUUAAAAAAGACAUUCUGGAAGGCAAGGACGUUAACCUAGCUUCAUUGCUCAUUGCCUCCCAGGAUGUCCUUGAGAACAGGACCUUUGCUUGUGGGGAUGUUUCCGUAGUCCUUAGAGCUAGAGACCCUCGCCUAAACAAAAAAUUGAACAUCCCAGAAUUUGUAUUAGGGUUUGGCAUCUAUAGGGAUGUAUAUUGCACUGUAUACCCAGGGAAAAGAGCCGAGCUGGAUACGUACAUGCACAAGUUGGUGGAUCUGGGACACAAAUACGGUGGUACAGCGUUUUACGAUUACCACCGUUCCUUCUCUGCAAAAGUGGCAGCAGCUCUGGCUCAGUUCAACUUAAACAUCAAUUGGAGCAAGUUGGACACUGAGCUAUUCUGUAGGCACUUUGCAGGCCUCAGGCCCCCAACUUGUGCAGUAUGCUCAUCAGCAACCCACAGCACAAAUUUCUGCCCUAAUACAGCUGAGGUAGAACAAAACCAAGCAGCAACUUACCCCCCAAGAUCAAACAAAGGUUUGAAAGACAAACUAGGAAGAGAUAUUGUCUUCUUAGGGAAAUCCCAAGUAUGUAACAAUUUUAAUGCCGGCAAUUGUGGUUUUAGUUCCUGUAGACUAAUGCAUGUUUGUUCACAUUGUUUCAGGGCUCAUUCCAAGACAAUGUGCCCAAAUAAAGCUUUCCCAAAACCCUAUCUCACAUGCGUGAACCUCAGCUUAUUCACCGAUUUGCUACGUCUACACCCAUCACGACACUUCAGCGACUAUCUCAUAACAGGAUUAGCAGAAGGAUUUCACACAGGGUUGAUACAUUUACCCACAGGCACACUGGAAUGUGACAACUUACUUUCCACACGGGAUGACCCACAGCUGGUACUUAAACUUAUCACAACCGAGGUGAAACAAGGUUUUUUGCUGGGUCCAUUCCUUUCACCACCCUUCAAUUCUUGGAGAACCAAUCCCAUUGGGAUUGUCACGGGGAAAAACUCACUUAAACCCAGGCUGAUCAUUGAUUUAUCCGCACCACAUUCCUCCACGGUCCCUAGCCUAAAUUCACUGAUACCAUCUGAAGAGUUUUCACUACAUUACGCCACUAUCGACCAUGCCAUCGGGGCUAUCAUUAAAGCUGGCACAGGGGCAUGGUUAAGCAAAACGGAUGUAGUAAAUGCCUUCAAACUACUGCCUAUGCACCCUACACUUUGGCACCUUCACGGCAUUAAAUGGGAAGGGUUAUACUAUUUCUUCACUCGUCUCACUUUUGGCUCUAAGAGCAGCCCGCGUAUUUUCGACACAUUUGCAGAGGCUUUAUGUUGGUUGUUGCUAAAUGUUUACCAAUGUCCCUCUGUGAUUCACUAUUUAGACGACUUCCUCACAAUUGAGAACAACACAAGUCCACCCACAAGUUUAAAACACAUGUUGGCAUUAUUUGAGUCACUUUCUGUUCCAGUCUCCCCACACAAGACCCUGGGGCCCGCCACCCAGAUGCAAUUUUUUAGGAAUACAACUAGACACAGUACACAUGCAGGCCAGCCUCCCUCAGGAGAAAAUUGAGCGUAUCCUGGCAAGUAUUGACCACUACCUACAGCAAGGUCGUUGCACUAAGAAAGACCUACAAUCAUUGCUGGGAUCGCUUAAUUUUGCAAUGAGAAUCAUUCCCCAGGGGAGAUCAUUUAUUUCACAUUUGCUAUCACUAUUUCCACAAUUCACCUCAGACACAUCUUACAUUUCACUAGACAAACAUGCGACAUCCGAUUUGAGCAUGUGGAGGAUUUUCCUCACUUCUUGGAAUGGGCGUGCCAUGUUUAUACCAUCUCACUCAGACACUUCACCCACAAUAUGGACAGACGCUGCAGCAAACACGGGGUUUGCAGCCAUAUGGGGUGACCUAUGGCUCGUGGGGCCAUGGCCAACUGAGGUCAAAUCACUCACAAAAUUCACAGAGACCUCAGCUUUAUUCGAAUUGUACCCCAUCGUGGCUGCGGCCGUUACCUGGGGCCGCCAGUGGUCCGGUCACACGGUGUGGUGCUAUUCUGAUAAUAUGGCUACUUGCCAUAUUGUCAAUAAAGGCCGGUCUUCAUCCCUGGUAAUUAUGAGGCUAUUGAGGCGACUCACAUGGAUAGCAGCCACUUGUCAAUUCUUUCUAACAUGUAUUCACGUUCCAGGGUGCACAAACAUCAGUGCUGAUCACUUGUCUCGAUUUCGUUUUCAGGAAUUCUUCACGACACUACCCACCGCCUCCAGACGGGCAACUCCAGUCCCACUUUUCACAGACAUGAUAAUGGAUUAAAAGCUUUGUUAAAUCACGCACGUCACAUUUCUCACAUGGCACUCUCUGUAAACACUAGAAACACUUACGACAGAGCUUUUCACAUAUUCAAAAAAUUCAUCACUGAAUUUCACAUUCACGAUAUGUUCACGAUAGAAACAAUAUUGGGUUUCACUUCUUUUUGCCACAUCAACCUUAAACUAUCAUUUAACACUAUAAAACUAUACCUUACGGGAAUUCAACACCACAUGCUAAUUCAACAACCCAACACCACGAGUUUCCUGUCCUCAUAUCAAAUCAAGACAGUUCUUAGAGGCAUUAAGAAAUUAGAUACACAUAUCCCCGAGAAACGACUACCUAUUGAUAACCACAUAUUUCAUGCACUAGUAAACUUGUUAGAUUCCUCUCCUUUUGAGCCCAGGACAAACACGGUAAUAAAAUCAGCCAUAUAUCUUGCUUUUUAUGGAUUCCUCCGUCCCAACGAAUUCACAACUAGGACUAUCACGUCCCCUGAUUACCAAAGAAUUAUGGACUUAGCGAAACAAAACGACCAUUACCUACUCACGCUAAAACACUCAAAAACCAGUACCAUAGGUCAUACCGUUACGAUCCCCUUAUACCCUACUCAUAACAAAUGGUGCCCUGUACAAAAUUUUGACAAUUAUCUUUUAUCACUCCACAAACAACCAUUACAACCUUUGCUAGAACUGCACGGUAACGUUCUAACUACAGUAAAGUUUAUGCUCUAUGUAAGACUGCUGUUGACUAGACUCGGCUUGAACCCUAGUCAAUUUUCGGGUCAUUCUUUCCGAAUAGGAGCAGCAUCUACAGCUUCUGCUAACCACAUUCCUCCGCACAUCAUCAAAACAAUGGGACGCUGGAAAUCUUCCGCUUAUACUCUUUACAUACCCAAUCCUGUUAAAGAAUUAAGACUAGCUUUCUGUGAUUUAUCUAAAUAAAGUUUUGGUCAACGUAUUACGUCUUAUGAUAAUUUAUUUUUGCCCACUUUUACAGGCCUACUCCUCUGUCGGUUUCGGCACACCACAACCGACUAAUUCCAAUAUUGAUAUGUUAUCAUAUGCUAUGUUUCCAUAUACGGCUAUAUUGCCACGACCACAAAUUAAAGGCUUGGCCUGUAGUUGUGGGAGGGGCUUGGUUUCCCUAUAAAAAGGCUGCCAAUCCACUCCCACAUUACCGUAAUGGUCUGGCGAGUCAACCCACCCACCACUCCCUCUAUUAUAAACACCCUCUAAGGUGGGCCCACUUUUACAGGCCUACUCCUCUGUCGGUUUCGGCACACCACAACCGACUAAUUCCAAUAUUGAUAUGUUAUCAUAUGCUAUGUUUCCAUAUACGGCUAUAUUGCCACGACCACAAAUAUAUAUAUAUAUAUAUAUAUAUGCUGUGUGUGGGGCUGCUUGUGGAAUUGUCUGUGUGGAUGGAUAUGUCACAUUGUGUGUUUGGUAGUGUGUAUGUAUGGGGCUGCUUGGGGUAUUGCAUGUGAGAGGCUGCAUAUGGGCUUGUGUGCAUGUAUGUGGAUUGUUAGUGGUGUUGCAUUUGUGUGGAUUGUGUGUGGGCUGUUUAUAUUAUUUGUAUGAGGGGAGGGUUAUUGUGCAUUUCUGUGUAUAUCUAGCAGUGUGGGUGGCUUCCCUGGGUUCCAGUGGGGACCAGGCUGGCCAGGUACAGGUCAAGGACAGGAGCUGCAACAGCAGCUGCAGGCUGCUCUACUACAGUGUGGAUUCCCAUUCACAAGUGCUGGGAGGAAGUGCUGCAAUGCAUAAAUUGAAGAUUGUCCUCAACCAUCUUUUCGUAUUAGUAGAUAUCUGAAGUUUCACUGGGACUCCUGAAAGGCCAGUGCCUGUUUGGCUCUAGCAGCCUUGAGUGCCGUGCAAAGACACCUUGAGUGCCGUGCAUGGCACUAGUGCUGUAGGUUGCCUACCCCUGGCAUAGUGUAUCGAAGGAGAAAUGUGGUAGCACUGUCAGAUGAGUGUAUGUAAAACUACUCUUUUGACACUGCAAUGUUUACGUUCAUAAAGCAAUAUCUUGAAGAUUUUUUUUGAUUUUUUUUAAAUAAGCGCAGUGGGAAUGUUGAAUUCUGUCUUGAGAAGUUGUGUUGUUGUUCUAUGAAUACCUUUUUUUUUUUUUUUUAAUUAUUUAUUUUUUUUAAAUGAUCUACGUCCAGGAAAACAUCACAUUAGCAGGAGGCAUUUUUAUACAGUUUUCUGGAAAUAUUGACUGUUUCAGUUACGUUUUUAGCAUUCUUUGGAAUCCCCAACUGCAGCUGGGUGGAUGAACAUUGGAACUUAAGAUCAUGGGAUUUUGGCAAUGCUUUAAUUGAAAGAGUAACCAAACCAGGCACACACUAACUCUUCAAAUGAUUACUACAACCAUUUUGCACUAUUCUUUUAUUUUCAUUGUUAAUGCCCUAAUGGGCACUAGUAAAUUUGUCUACCCCCUUUUUUUAACUUUAAAGACCUUUUAAAACUUACCUUGGCCAAGGUUACCUUGAGUCUUUCCACGCCCUGUCCAUUGUUAUGCUGCAUCACUUCUUCUGUCUCUGAGGUCCUAUUCGAUGCUUCUCAUUGAGAUUCUUUUAUUGGACCAAUCUCACUGGCUUAGAGCAAGCAAAUGUGAGUAGACACUGUAGGGAGGUGGAUAGGGGAGCUGUUCAGAAGUGGGGAUGUAAAUAAAUUAAAAAAAAAAAAUAAUAAAAAAAAAAUGUUCACAGUAUUGGAAGGGCGGGGACAUACAAGCUUCCCUUUGCAGGCGUGCUCACAACUCUGCCUGCAAGGAUAGAAGUUGAGAAUGUCUGUUGCCAUUGUGCAGUGCCUACAGGCAACAUACAGGAUUUUUGCACAGAAUUAUCAUUGGGCAGCUAGGAAAAGAGUUCUGGGCUGCCUAAGUUAUCUGUUCCAGAGCUGUAACUAGCCACUGGCACAAAAGUGCAGAUGUAUUUGCAAAAUGAAUUGCUGCAUAUACAGAUUCCUUGCUCCAUGACCACUUCUGAAAGCAGAAGUGGUCAUGGAGUUUGGAGUAAUCCUUAAGUCUAACUUCCAUCCUGUUUCACGAUGUGUAUAAUAUUGCUUUUUUCCUUCUAUACUUGAAAAGUCUAAAGUGUUGAUCACUUAGUUACUUACGAUAGUCUUAUUGCUGUUUCAUCAAACAUCUGAUCCAACGCUCAUUAUAACAUAACUGAUCUCUUUUGAGGUGGAUUAUUUGGUAUUGCUGUAGAUUUUUAUUUUCUUUACUGGCACAUUAUCAAACUUAUAAAAGUCCUAACUGCCGGAAAUUUUGACAAGUUACAGUUGCGUAACUAGUGUUAUUAGUAUGUGAUGCAUAGUAUGCUUUCACUGAAACCUAGGAGUUAGUCCUUGUGACUUAGUAGUUAAAAGUUCAAUAACCAUUGUAUGCAACCAGACCACUUCAUCUCAGUGAGGUGGUUUGGGUUCAUGUCCUACUAGUAUUAACCCAGCAACGUGAAACAUUGCCAUUCUGCUGGACUAGUGACUGAGCUUACUUGGAGGUUUCUUGAAGGCAAAUUGUACAAAAACUGCAAUUUUACUCACCGUAAAUUUUAUUUUUCCUUACUAUGGUGGCAGUACAAUAGGGAUGUACUCUUCCCAUGGGACAAGCAUCUGAAAUUAAAAAGGAACAUAAACGUUCCUACACCAACCUGCCAUGGACCCUCAGUACGUCCCAAUAAAACAUCAGAGACCUACUACUGCAAAAAUAGAAAAUGUAUUAAUAAAGGGAAGGGGUGAUGUACUGCCACCAUUUUAAGGAAAAAUGAAUUUACGGUGAGUAAAAUUGCAGUUUUUCCUGACACAUGGUGGUAUAAUAGGGAUAUAUUGAGAUCCCAGAGCUAUUGGCGGGAAUUAAGCAACCAUCGCUUGUACCACCUUAUGCUCGAAAGCCGAGUCAGAGGCAGAGAAUACAUCUAGUCUGUAAUGCUUGACAAAGGUAUUGAAUGAAGACCAUGUAGCGGCUCUGCAGACAUCUUCAAGUAGAGCAUGUAUCUUUCGGCCCAGGAAGCAGCCAUUGCUCUAGUAGAAUGAGCUUUCAAAGAGGCAGGUAGAGCCAUCUCGCUAAAGUAGAUUUGGAGGUAACAUGACCUGACAAUGUUUUUUGAAAAAUUGACAAAAAAGAUGGUCAGUCUUCCUGUAUGUAGAGGAGCAGUCUAAGUAGAUCUUCAGAGAUCUUCCAACAUCCAACUUGUGCCAAUUAUCUAAACCUGAGACCGAUGGAUAACCAAAGGAAUGCAGGGAAAUAGGUUGGUUGAUAGCCUUGGAAGAGAUGACUUUAGAUAGAAACGAAGGUUUCGGACACGGAACAACUUUUUCUGAAAUAACUUUUGUAAAUUCAGCAGAUUACGAAAAAGCCUGAAUUUCACCUAUCCUCUUAGCAGACGUUAUGGCCACCAAAAAAAGCUGUUUUUAGAGACAAGGUUUAAAGAUGUGUCCUCCAAAGGUUUGAAAGGAUGGGUACAAAGAGUCUUCAAAACCAAAGACAGAUCCCAACAGGGAAAAAAAAACUCUCUUCUUGGGGGCUUAAUCAGCCUGACAGCCUUAAAUCUCCUAAUCAGAGGAUUCAAAGGUAAAAAAUGGCUGAGAGCAGAAACUUUAAAGGACCACUAUACUGCCAGGAAAACAUACUCGUUUUCCUGGCACUAUAGUGCCCUGAGGGUGGCCCCACCCUCAGGGACCCCCUCCCGUCCGGCUCUGGAAGAGGGAAAGGGGUUUAAACUUACCUUUUUCCAGCGCUGGGUGGGGAGCUCUCCUCCUCCGUUCCUCCUCCUGGGCUGAAUGCGCACGCGGUCACAUGUGAAAAUCACAGUGAGAAGCACGCAAGCGCCUCUAGUGGCUGUCAAUGAGACAGCCACUAGAGGAUUAGGGGGAAGGCUUAACCCAUUCAUUCUCUGAAACUGCUAUGUUUAUGAAAAAAUGGGUUAAACCUAGCUGGACCUGGCACCCAGACCACUUCAUUAAGCUGAAGUGGUCUGGGUGCCUAGAGUGGUCCUUUAACUUUGAGGGUAGAUAAACGAAGACUGCAAUUUUACUCACCGUAAAUUCCUUUAAGGCUGACUUGUAGAAAAUGCAAGAUAGUAUCAGAAGAAGGAGAAUGUCGCAGGCAAUGAUGAGAUAUGCAACAAUGAAGGAAUUUCGUCCAAGGAAUUUCGUCAAAAUUUUCAAAUGGAUAGCAGAGGUAGAUCUUCUGGUGGAAUUCAGCAGAAUCUCGAAUCUCUCCUUCUUAAUGCCCUCAUUAAAACUGAGAACCAUUUCCAAUUUGGCCAGUAUGGGAUUAUGGCCAGUACCUUUGCAUGUUCUGAUUUCACCUCUUUCAAGAUCCUUGGAAUUGGCCUCACGGGGGAAAUAUGUAUGACAGGCUGAAGUCCCAUUUGAUUAAUAGCCCAUCCAGGACCAGAGGCAUGUCUGCCUUGAAGAGUGAGGCAAAUGUUUUCACCUUUGCAUUUGACCUUCUUGCCAUUAGAUCGAUGAUAGGCAGUCCAAAUAUCUUCACCAGCUGAGAAAAAAUNNNNNNNNNNNNNNNNNNNNNNNNNNNNNNNNNNNNNNNNNNNNNNNNNNNNNNNNNNNNNNNNNNNNNNNNNNNNNNNNNNNNNNNNNNNNNNNNNNNNGAUCGGAGUUAGAGACCACUCGUUCUGGGACCAUCUCGAUCUGCUUAAGUCGUCUGCAAUAACGUUGUCUGUUCCUCUUAUAUGAGUAGUGGAAAUGUCUUCUAGAUGACUUUGAGCCCAGGACAUAAUUUGCGUGCAAAGGGAGUGCAAUUUUCUUAUCCUUGUGCCCCCUUGUUUGUUCAGGUAAGACACCAUAGUCUGGUUGUCUGACUCAGUUUUCACUGCUUUCCCCAUUAUGAGAUCUCUGAACUGACGAAGAGCAUAUAAGACGGUUAUCAACUCCUUGUAACUUGAGGAUUCCCUUUUUUCUUCUUCUGACCAUGUAACUUGUCUCAAGUGAUACUGUAGGUGUGCACCCCAACCUGUAUUCAAAGCAUCUGUGGUGAUUAUGACCCAUCGUUUUGGCUGAAAUGAUGAACCUUCUGACAUGAAACUUUUUAUUUUUUUUUUUUUGCCACCAGUCUAGUUUUCUUCUUACAGGAUCUGAAAUGUUAAAUACAAGUGUUUUUUUCUUUCUUUGACCACUUUAGAAGAAUUUCCCACCUCAAAGGCCUUGAUUCUGCUCUGGCCCAUUUUACUGCUGGAAUAGUGGAAGUGAGGUGUCGCAACACCUGCAUAGCUUUCCUCAGUGAGCAUUUUGGCUCUCUCUGAAGUUCUUUUGUCAGCUUCUUUAUUUUUCUUCUUUUUUCUGCUGGUAGGUGAAUAGCAAGAGUGUCUGACUUGAUCAAAAACCCUAGAAACUGAAUUGACCUUGUGGGAUGCAGAUGAGAUUUUCUUAGGUUUAUCACCCAACCAUGUUUUUCCAGGAUGGGUGUGGGGGCCAGGGGUGAGGACAAUAGGUUCACCCCCUCCCCCCCCACUUCAUUUUCAUUUAGGGCCCCCACCCACCGCUCCGAUGUGGGGGCCAGGGGGCAAGACAAAUAGGGCCCCCACCCGCCGCUCACGGGUGAAGGCUGGGGGUGGGGAGGACAAUAGGUGUCUCUCCCCCUCCCCCCCACUUUCAUUUAGGGCCCUCACUCGACGCGGCAUAGCGAGUAGGGGCAGGGUUUACUAAUACUAAGUCAUCUUUACUUAGUAUUAGUAAAUUUGUCUGAAAAAAACAAUUUAGGUCUUACAACCUUUUGCUAGAUAGCUCCCUGAUACCGUGAGAAUUAGGGAGCUAUCUACUAAGCGGCUGCAAGAUGCAGCUGCAGCACGAAUAGGAUUGGAAUUUCAUUCAUUAGAAUGAAAUUCCGAUCCGAACAAAGUCCCGAGUUGCGUCCUAACAUGAAUGAACAAACUGUUCUCAUUCUGUUAGGACGAAACUCUGUAGUUUUACCAGCGUUCUAAGUGACAGGACGUUCGGGAAUAUUGACAGGAAGCAUUGCGAGAUCACGGAUCAAAGGUGAGAAUUGUGGGAAAAUGCCUCUGACUGCAGGAAACUGAGCACACUUUGCUCCUCCGCUGGUCAGAGAUGGUCAGGAGUAGGAAACCUCCAUAAGACAAAGUAGUCUUUGUCUUAUGUUUUUAAAGAGAACGAGAACAGAUCCUGAGAGAAGAGGAAUCGAUUGGGGAAAAGCAAGUUCACCAUGACAGUGCAGCUUUAAAAGAAUAGUGGGACUCUAUUUAUAGGAUAUAUCUAUAUAGGAUAUAUGUAUCUCUAUAUCUCCAUAUCAGGUUGGCUAUGUGUAAAUCACAUUGAUUUUUAACAAAUGGUAGCCAAUUUGUAGUACAGCUAUGGUUGAAAUAUCUGUAUUUCUGAGUAGCAAAACUUCCCAGACUUGGUUGUUUUAACUAACACAGUUUGGCAUUUAGUAAACUGACCUCUGUGCUUGCAUGAAGUUGAAUCAUAUCAAGCAAUAGUGACUGUCUAUUUGAUUUAAAUGACAGUGGAACGUUUUAGCUAAUUACUUUCAAUCUUCUAUUGGCCUUCAUUUUUUUUUUUAAGAGAAUCGUUUAAAAGGUCUGCCAGUUGAACUUUGUUUGCUCUGGGAUCUGUAAUUCCCACUUCGAAAAAACUAAGUGCUUGUUUAUAUUGUGUCACAUAGGCUUUGUUUGUUAUAAGCAAAUAGCGAAGAAUUGAUAAUGCAGAGUUCUUGGUAAAUUUAUUCAGCCAAACGUUCUUUGAAAGAAUCCCUGGGAAUUAAACUUUGUACAAAUUGCCCUCUGUUUUUCUGUGAUCUAUGUUGGAUGGUGUAAUCUAUGAAAUAAAAAAACAGAUUUACAAAAUGUAAGCCUAAAUAGGUGAGCUUAGAAACAAGCUUUAUCCUGGUGAUAUUUAUCAACUUUGUUGAUAGUUUGUUUGAGCCUAAAUUUAGCAAAUUAGUUUUUCACCACUAUUGCCUGUUUAGUGAAUGUACACUAGUGGUCUCGAAUAUUUUGAGGUGCUUGGCAGGUUUCAUCUAUAUACUACUGGAAUGAUUCCCAGGGUUUUGUCAUAAUAAAUACCUGAGACUCUGUCCACUAUAUUUUCAUGUAGUAAUUCACAAACUGAGGAUACCGCACUUUCUUAAGAAUCCAGGUGCUUAUUAGGGCCAGGGUUGGCAAAACCUAGUUUAGUAGAUAAAAUAAAUUCAGACCGGGCACGCAGGUUUAUGGAAACAAAAAUUGCAAUGUUUUGACCUACACAGAGGCCUUUAUCAAACACUAUAUUUUCUGGACAUCAAUUCAAGCUAAAGAUAACACAUGAAAACCUUUGCCUUGCACUAUAGAAUGUUCAAAUGUCGCAGGAAUUAAAACUGUUCUUGAAUUAGUGACAGGUGCUCAGGGUAAAGUGGUGGGUCUGGUAGCUCUGUUCCCUGCGAAGCAUGUGAUAGAUUUGGAUACCAUGUACCAGUGCUGAAUUAAAUGAUCACUAUUUAAUUAAAUGAGUGAAACUCAAAAAAUCUUUCAAAUAUGAACUUUACCUGCCUGUUUUGUCAGUAAGCUAGUGAAUGUGAAAUUCAGGGAGAUGCUUGAAUUCAGAGCUGCAUUGUAAUAGACCAGCAGGAUUGUUCACCAAAGUGAGAAUUUUCAGGGAUUCAAAGUGAAUUUCAAAUUUUGACUAAAUUUAACUGAACGAGGAAAAUUCUCUAGGAAUAUUAGUUGGCUAUGUUUCCAGUUCAUCUACUUUGGCAUUUAAAGGGACAUUAUAGUCACCAGAACAACUACAGCCGUAUGUAGUUCUGAGUAUAGUCCGUCCCUGCAGACUUUUUGCAGAGAAAAGGCAGUGUUUACAUUUCUCCUUAGGGGCACCUCCAGUGGUAGUCUCUCAGGCGACCACUAGAGGUGAUUCCUGCUGAACUUCUCCCACAGAGAUGCAUUGAUUCAACGCAUUUCUAUGAGGAUAUGCUGAUUUACUAGCUGGGCAUUUGGCUCUGCCCCCAGCCACACCUUCUUGGCAGAGAUUUUUGGAAUUGACUAUCUCCGUCAUACCAAUGCUUUAUAUUGCUUUGUCUGACAUCUGUUUUGAUCACAGCCAUGCAGGCGGGUUGGGGCGCAGCCAGCGCCAGCAGAUGGUAAUUAUUUUUUUUUUUAGGCGGGCAACAGGGCUCAUGUGGUUUUCUAAACCUAUAGGGUCAGGAAUACAUGUUUGUGUUUCUGACCCUAAAGUGUUCUUUGAAGUCUCUAAAGUGAGAAUUGUAGGGAAUUCAAGUGAAUAUGAAUGUGUGUAUUUUCAAACAGCCAUAACAAAACUAGAAUACAUAUGUUGGUUGUUGACCAUAAAGUGCUAUAUAUAUAUAUAUAUAUAUAUAUAUAUAUAUAUAUAUAUAUAUAUAUAUAUAUAUAUAUAUAUAUAUAUAUAUAUAUAUAUAUAUAUAUAUAUAUAUAUAUUAUAUAUUUUUUUUAAUUCUUUAUUUUUGUCGUGCAAGAAUUUACAACAGUGUCUGUGUAGCCACAGCAGCUGUAACAGACGCAGUCAAAUAUAACAUAGUAAAACAUUUUCGUGGCAUAAGUUAACUCAGCACAUUUUUGUAAUUUAAUGAACAGGAAAGACAACCUUAAGCAGUGUACGGUUCAACACAGGUAUGGGCAAAAGCGUUUAAGUAGCUGGGUCACAUGUUGGUUUACGCCUUUAUGUGAGGUAUACAGUAUUGUAUUCCAGCAGUGUUUGUGGGUGUCGUGGUAUAUGUGUCGCUUGGGGCCUAUCUGCUAAGCAGCAGCUUGAUAACAUUUUGCAGCACUAAACCAGCUAAAGUAUAGUAUUAGCCUAAGUCAGGGCUGAUCCUGUGUGAGUAAUUAAGCAUUAAUCAGGAGCAAUCGUUAGCUGAGGUAUAGUGUAGGACAGAAACAUAGCUGAUCUUAUGGUGCUCCAGCAAUAUUUGUGAGUCCAGGAGCAUAUAUUUCGCUUGGGCCCACCAAUUAAACAGCAGUUUACAGACAUGGCGCAAAGCCAAGCGUACUAGAAGUACAUUAGUUGCUUAAAUUCUGACUAAUCUUAGCUUGUGUACUCAUAUUAUACAAUUGCUGAACUCUGACUUUAGUCCCCCCCGUGCUCCCCUGGGUGAGUUGACCAGAAAACAAAAUAGAAAGCAAAAUAAGUAAAUUAUAUGUUCCAGUAUACAUUCGUGAGAGUUCAAUUGGGGCACAGAGAGCUGUGUGACAGAUGGUAUUAUGCCCAUAUUUGAGUCUUAGUCCCUUUGGGGGUCAGCCGAUGCCUUGUUGGGGCUGUGUAUGUACCUUCUGCGGUAAUCGGUGCAGCUGGUGCGAUCUCCUCGGUGUGAAGGAGCUGAUGUCCCCUAGGCUAUGCAGUGUUGCUGUGGGCGCUGAGUGUAGCUCCAGCCAAGCUGUGCGUCGGGGAAGGUUUGCCUGUCUUGGGCUGAGGUAGCUCUGUAUAUACCUUCCGGACGCGGUCACCUCCCCUGGUCCUGCUCCCCUCUGCUUCACUUGCCGUAUCUGGGGAGGUCUUGUGCUCAGUUUCGCCUGUCCCCUCCGUUUCACUGCCUUGCAUGGGGGGUGCGAGUACUUGCCCCUCUGCCGCCGUCCAGCGUUCGUUUUUUUGGGCCUUGUGACUAGCCUCUGCCCCUGCCAGUUCGGGUUAGCGUCACCCUUGUGAUACAGCUGUUGUUGGGGCUGUGCUGCUGUUUGUCCCCGUCUGGCCUCCUGUGAGGUGCACUGUGGCGAGGUCUGGAGUGGGGCUCUCAUGCGGGCUUCCAGGGACUCCCAGAAAAUAGCGAAGAUGCUGUUCAGCCGCAUCUCCGUUUCCCGCCAUGCGUCGGAGGUUUCCGCCAUAUUGAACACCGCUGAGUCUGUUAGUUUUGGGCUCCACGGAGCCGCUUCUGGCCCAUUGCUUUGCCAGGGAGUCAGUUGGGGGUAGACCGGGAUAACCCCCACCGGACCAGAGGAGGGGGAACGAGGGCUUGCAGCCAGAUUCCGGGCAUGGCAUUGCAGCUGGGGAGCGGCCGUCUCCCCUGCGCCCGCCAUGCUUGUAGGCCUCAUUGUGAGUUGUGCUCGGUUCGUCGCUGGAGAGGUAUCGUUUUCUUCCCCUCGGUGUCUACUCUCGAGUGGUAGCUUUAAACUCACAAUUAAAUGCCUGUGUAACGGUGAAAUUUAGCAUUAAGUGCCGAGUUUAGCAGGAGCUGAUGUGGUGAGCUUCCUCACAGCUCUGCAGCCAGGCCCCGCCCCCUAUAUAUAUAUAUAUUUUUUUUUAAGAUAGUUUGCCUACGAUGGUUCUAAACAUUUGCAAUACAAAUUCUGUUUACGGUGCAGGGUAAGGCACCAUUGCACCCAGACCACUUCAGAAAGCAAAAUGCAACAUAUGAAAAUAUAAAUUUACUAUAAUAAUAAUUUGUGUACCUAAAAUGAUGACCUAAGAAAAGUUACUUGUGCAAUAUCCCAAAUCCCUAUGCAUAUUUAAAUAACUGGAGGUUUUUUAGUAUAAUUCCAAUGAUCAUUAAAGUGCAAGCUCUCCUGCCACGUCAAGUCAAAUCUCUUAGGUGAGACCUACACUAACAAUUCACCAUGCUUCUUUCAGCUUCAGAUAAAAAUCUCUGAUACAGAGAGGGGAAUUUUCCUUAACCCCCUAUGCACUUAUUAGCCCUGAAUAGGUAACAAAUGGGUGCAGUUUAAUAGAGAACACAUGGUGACCUAGUAGCUUGUCAUUUCCUCUAUGAUGUUCACUGGUAUGGUUUGUGGGGAUAUUUAUGGGAUAAUAAUAGUAAACAGUUGAGAAUUGCCCACUAUUUCAAUUCUCAGAUCCCAAAGAACGUUUAUCGUGUUAAGUGGAAUGUAUUUCAUAUAAUUAAUAUCACAGUUUAUAAAAAUAGAUUUUUAUUUAUAUGACAAAUUAAUUAAUAAUAAUAUAUGUAACAUGCAUGACAAUAAUCAAUGAAUAUUCAGUAUAAAAUGAUAUGCAAUACAAAGAAAUGGGUAUAACGUUUCAAUGGCUAACUAGCAUUUCCUGUCAAGAAUUAUUUAUGACUAUCUUUAACACAGGCUGAAAGUGAAACUUUUCACAGCGAAGAACAGAAUUCCUCAGAGUGCAGCGUAAGGUCGUAAAGUUUAGCCGACAGUUAGAAUAACCCUUUCAAUGCUGGCUAGAUCUCCUAGGUAGUUAAGAUCUAUUCUUAUGUAUUUUUAAAUAAAAUAACAUUUAAACCAGUUUAAAUUCAUUUUCUUAAAAUCAUCCAAUAAGAGAAUUUACCACAUUAUAUAAGCAGAUUUUUAAUUUGUCUAAAAGAUAUCUAUCUUAAUUUAGAGCAAAUCAAUACACCUGGAUAAAAACAGCGGUAUGCUAACACGUGAUAAUAUCACAUCAAUAUAUAAUUAUUCUUAAUUCCACCUGCAGAAUGGAAUGUUUAUAACUUUAUAUUCUUAGUUAACUAAGAUUUCUUAAUAUGGAAAUCUGACCGUGCUUUAUCCAGUCAUAUAUAAUGCUAUUAAUACAUUUUAAUUAAUUAAUUUAAUUAAAUGAAACCAGUAUAAUUACCAGUUGAGUAGAUAUUUCAUCCGAUUGGUAGUCUCAGGAAUUUAUUUGGAUGUGUCUCUGCAUGGAGGUUGGAGUCCCCAAACUUCCAAUUCCUCUCUUUUUUUCUUUGCAUAUCUCUUGCAUCUGCUUCUCUAUCUUCCCUUUGUCUUAACUUUUAAAGGGCCAGACUCUCUGUACGUCAUCAGUUGAUAACCCAAUAGAAGCACUAGAGGUGUGGUUAUCUUCCAGAUCGCAAAUUAGUUAUUUGGUCUAUAGAGGGCAGUCUUGUCCCACUAAACAUACCUAUCCAGGAAAGAGUUAACUUUUCCUGGUGGCUAUUUUGACGUCAUUUUGCGUUAUCUUUAUAGCGCCAUAAUUCAAAAUUUCAAAAGGAUUUCUUAAAUUUUGUCCAGACUUUGUGUCUGCAAAUCUGAGUUUUUUUCUGAUAUGGCAGAUCAUGAACUAAGUUUACCCUUUUCCAUACAAUGGUACCUUAUAUAUAUAGACAGUUAAAUAUUAAAUUAUUUAAUCUUCUCUGUCACAAUUGUCUGGGUUUAGAUUUGAUUAUAUUCUUUUAGCAUUAGACAGUCUGUCCAACCCCCUUCCUUAUCACUUGGCUUGUAUAUACUAUGCAUUCCUCAGCUCUGGGAAAGUGGUUAGCUUACAGAUAGAAAUAUAGUGUCUCUUUGUUUUUUUGAAAAUAACAAAAUGGAGUCUGAUCUGUUCAGAGUGACUCAGAAUAUACACUUUUAGUUUCUAUCAUAGCACAAAAUGUCUGCCGAUAUAAAUACUCUGACAGGUUGAGCUAUACAGGGAUAUUAACUUUUCCUUUUUCUUUCACCCCCGCAUCUUGCAGGUCAGGAUGGCUUUCAAGUUGGCUUCCAACUUGGUGCCCCACAUCCAUGUGUCAACUUGAAGAAGCUGAAGAGAAAAUACUAAAGCGUAAGUUGCAUUUUUGCAGGUAGGGUUGAAUGGAGGAGCCAAAUUAGAUGAACG
rnacentral:lncRNA from 1 species